AUUGAACGCUGGCGGCAGGCCUAACACAUGCAAGUCGAGCGGAUGAAGGGAGCUUGCUCCUGGAUCCAGCGGCGGACGGGUGAGUAAUGCCUAGGAAUCUGCCUGGUAGUGGGGGAUAACGUCCGGAAACGGGCGCUAAUACCGCAUACGUCCUGAGGGAGAAAGUGGGGGAUCUUCGGACCUCACGCUAUCAGAUGAGCCUAGGUCGGAUUAGCUAGUUGGUGGGGUAAAGGCCUACCAAGGCGACGAUCCGUAACUGGUCUGAGAGGAUGAUCAGUCACACUGGAACUGAGACACAGUCCAGACUCCUACGGGAGGCAGCAGUGGGGAAUAUUGGACAAUGGGCGAAAGCCUGAUCCAGCCAUGCCGCGUGUGUGAAGAAGGUCUUCGGAUUGUAAAGCACUUUAAGUUGGGAGGAAGGGCAGUAAGUUAAUACCUUGCUGUUUUGACGUUACCAACAGAAUAAGCACCGGCUAACUUCGUG
rnacentral:rRNA from 1 species